AGGAAAAUUAGAAAAUUACUUUCCGUGAGGAGAGGUGCUCACCUUUAAAAGACGAUCCGCUCCAUAGCCUAGUUUUCCGCCGGGAAUGAUGAGGAAAAUGCUGUGGACAUAGAUCGCAUUUUUCCGGAUGUAAUUUUCUCGAGGUUGAAAUAAAAAGAGGACUUCUUUGGGAGGAGAAAGAACUGCUGUCGAGAAUAUCGAGAAGUGAACAAAAGCACAACGGCAACACAAAACAAAAUACUGCCGAAAAGCAGACUGUUUCAAGUUCAUAACACACCCCGCUCAAUAAUCAUCUGAUCUUACCGCGGGCCAAUCAGAGGAAAGAAAAUGAACUGGGCUUCGGCGACGACAUGGAAUGUUAUCGAUAUAGAAAUCAAACGAGGUACCAUUUAUUUUGGAAGCGACCGUAGAUACAGAAAAGGAAAAACUUCUGUCAAUGUAAGCACCAUACCAAUGAAUUAGACCUUGGAAUCGGCACCAGCACCUACACCUACGUGGAAUGACAUAAUUCAAAAAAUGUUUUAAGCCUAUCAGUUAGCAUAUGGAAAAUUCAAUAAGCUCAAAAUGUCGGAAUGAUUUAAGCACAAAAUCUCGUCGAUCUUCAUUGUUGGCUGAAGACAGAGCCAGAAAACAUCCAAUCCAAUUGGAUACUGGAAACUGAAACAGUCGAAGAACAGAAAGAGGAUUGUGAGGAAUGCCAGGACAAUUUGUAUCUUGCCAAAGAAAGUAUUGG